AAGGCUCCGCCCCUUCCCCGUCCUGCCAGGCUCCACAAUCACCUACAGAGAUCAUCGCUGUGGCCAGGCGGUUGUGUCGAUCCAGCUAGAGACAGGAGCUGAAACCAUGGCGGAGAAGACUCAAAAGAGCGUGAAGAUCGCACCUGGAGCAGUUGUGUGUGUAGAAAGCGAAAUCAGAGGUGAUGUCACUAUAGGACCCAGGACAGUGAUCCACCCUAAAGCACGAAUCAUCGCAGAAGCCGGUCCAAUAGUGAUAGGCGAAGGCAACCUAAUAGAGGAGCAGGCGCUUAUCAUAAAUGCUCACCCUGAUAAUAUCACUCCUGAUGCAGAAGAUCCAGAACCCAAACCUAUGAUCAUUGGCACCAAUAAUGUGUUUGAAGUUGGCUGUUAUUGCCAAGCCAUGAAAAUAGGAGAUAAUAAUGUUAUCGAGUCAAAAGCGUAUGUGGGCAGAAACGUGAUACUGACGAGUGGUUGUAUCAUCGGGGCCUGUUGCAACCUGAACACGUUUGAAGUCAUCCCUGAGAACACAGUGAUCUAUGGCGGAGACUGCCUGCGACGGGUGCAGACUGAGCGGCCACAGCAAAAUGAUUGAAGAGGGAGAGAUGAAGCUGGAGUUGGGUUAAGGGAGAUUAGAACUAAGUGAGCAAGAAUAUCUGAAGUUUAAUACGUAAUGCCCCAGACACUACAGCUGGAUUUCCUGAUGAAAAUCUUGCCAAACUACCAUCACCUAAAGAAGACCAUGAAAGGAAGCUCAACUCCAGUUAAGAACUAAAAACAAUAGAUGACAUCAAGAUAAUAUUUGUGUUUGACCAAUGUCUUUUUUUUUUUUUGACUGGUGUCUUUUGAAAGAGCCACGUUUGUGCAUUUAUAACAGUCCACGAAACACCUGUUGACUUUAUCUUGUAAAAUUGAAUUUGAGAAGAAAGUAAUGGAUUUUCAUUGUAACUGUCCUCUAUAAUUUAUAUAAAAUGUAUUAUUUUCUGAUGUCCUUGUCCCAUUCUGAUAAUUUACAGAUUUUUUUGUUCUAUGUUUUAUGUUAUAUAAAAUGUUGGCCAUGAGUUUUAGUUAUGUAAAAGACUACCCAUGAUAAGAAAGAACAUAUUGUUAUGUAUUUAUAUUCUAACAAAUACUAAACUAAAUAAAAAUGUUGAUGACAGGACUUUUACUUUAAUCAGUUUUUCUACUUGCAUCAACUUUCCCAAAAUAGCUCUUUUAAUUUUUAUUGUAUACUAGUUAAAUAUUAAAGCUAAUGUGUUUUCAUUUUC